rnacentral:rRNA from 1 species
ACCAGCAGCCAGAUCACGCUGCAGGUCUCAACUGGCUACCCACUGAAGCUGAGCAGGGUGGAGCCUGGUCAGUACCUGGAUGAGAGACCUCCAGGGAAGCUGUGGUUGCUGCCGGAA